AAUACGGGAGUGUCAUCACGGGUGAGWAACGCGUGGGAACAUGCCCUUUGGUUCGGAACAACUCCGGGAAACUGGAGCUAAAACCGGAUAAGCCCCUCGGGGGAAAGAUUUAUCGCCGAAGGAUUGGCCCGCGUCUGAUUAGCUAGUUGGUAGGGUAAUGGCCUACCAAGGCGACGAUCAGUAGCUGGUCUGAGAGGAUGAUCAGCCACACUGGGACUGAGACACGGCCCAGACUCCUACGGGAGGCAGCAGUGGGGAAUAUUGGACAAUGGGCGCAAGCCUGAUCCAGCCAUGCCGCGUGAGUGAUGAAGGCCUUAGGGUUGUAAAGCUCUUUCGCGCGCGACGAUAAUGACGGUAGCGUGAGAAGAAGCCCCGGCUAACUUCGUGCCAGCAGCCGCGGUAAUACGAAGGGGGCUAGCGUUGUUCGGAAUCACUGGGCGUAAAGCGCAUGCAGGCGGAUUGUUAAGUCGGGGGUGAAAUCCCGAGGCUCAACCUCGGAACUGCCUUCGAUACUGGGCAAUCUUGAGUCCGGGAGAGGUGAGUGGAACUGCGAGUGUAGAGGUGAAAUUCGUAGAUAUUCGCAAGAACACCAGUGGCGAAGGCGGCUCACUGGCCCGGUACUGACGCUGAGGUGCGAAAGCGUGGGGAGCAACAGGAUUAGAUACCCUGGUAGUCCACGCCGUAACGAUGGAUGCUAGCCGUCGGCAAGUUUACUUGUCGGUGGCGCAGCUACGCAUAGCAUCCGCCUGGGGAGUCGAUCGCAGACUAAACUCAAGGAAUGCGGGGCCGCAGCGUGGAGCAUGKGGUUAUUNAAGACCGARWACUUACGGCUUGAUCCGGCSGGCCUGAAGGGGCUUAUCGUGACGGAC
rnacentral:rRNA from 1 species